UUCCCGGUGGUGUAAUUGGUAACACUACAGAUUCUGGUUCUGUCGUUGGGGGUUCGAGUCCUCCCCGGGAAG
rfam:Salinispira pacifica strain L21-RPul-D2, complete genome.